rnacentral:lncRNA from 1 species
CGCAGUCAUGCGAUUAGUCACGCAAGUAGUCACAAACCCCCUUUGCCAUAAAGGAGUCAUAGCUCACAGCCCCACCAGUGCUCUUUUCCCAAAACAUGUCUCUGAAAACUAAACUCAAACAUGCAUGUCGGUUUAGACUUAUUUUUCAUGUUUGUUUUGCCCAAAGCAUGGACCAUGUCAGGGAAGAUGGAGACACCUUCACGGCCGGUUAGUCACAUCUCACCAAAGCUUCUCAAUGGGCUGUCAGACAAGAAAGGAGCCUCAUGUAGCCACCUUAAUCAGCAUCCCCCGUCUGUGAGGUCAUCGGGAUGUUUCAAACAAUUUCCAGCUCUCAUUAGUUGAGCGUGUUCCACAGGUAAGAAGCCUUCAGAAGCAAGCCAUGAGACAUUCGCCUCCUCCCUCCCUUUCUUCCUUCCACAAGCAUUUAACCAGCUGAGUAGGUGAGUAGGUGUUGGGCUAGCAGCUACUGACAGCCCAGCAGUGAAUGAAGCGUAGCCUUGUUCCCAGAGGACCUCAGAAGGAAAGGUGGACGGAGGAUACCAAUGUCAGACAACACAAAAAGAAUGAGUCAAAAAAGAGGCAGUGGAGUCCAGAAGAGAGGAGAGAAGAAACACAGGGACCUGUGAGUCAGCCAAGCUGUCCCUGAAGAAGUAGGAUCUGUUCCAAGAACAGAAGGAACUCAUGGGCAUCUGUGGUCAUGUUCACUCAUCAGGGACAGAGCACCUGGCAAAGCUGGCCCAUGAUGCAGCGCUCCUCUCCUCUCCCCAUAAUGGAUGGGUGGCGGUGCAGUGCAUGCUCCCCGUGGAAGCACGGACCCAGCGGGCCUUUCUCAGGCAAUCAUGUGGCUGUGUCUCUCUUCAUGGGGCUUCAAGACGAUGUCCCUCGAGGCCAUUUCUUAACUCUAAAUUCACAAGGUGGCUUGUGCUACCCUGGGAAAUGAUGUGAGAAGGACUUCAAAAACCCCUGGUGGCUGAAGAAUGGUUGAGGUUAAAACAAAUGGAAGGACGGCCAUCGUGCCAGGUACCAAAUGAACAUAAAUGAAAGAAAACCAGCCACCAGAUCAACCUCACAUGCCCUGCAUGGUGCCUCAGAAGCCAUGGAUUAGAGGCUCUGGCUUCUCCAAACAGAAACCCAUUGCCAAGCAAGAACCGCCUGUGUCCUGAGGCUUCAAGUUGCUCUUCCCAAUCACAAAACAAGAGACUGUGAGGUCACUGUCAGAAGUCUGAGCCUGGGACGAGAGUCGGCUCCCCCUCUCUGAUCCUGAGCUUGAGAGCAAAGCCUGCUCCAACUCCUGGGGGAUCCCCCUCGGCUACAUCUUGUUACCGCCCAUCGCUGAAGCCGUUCCCAAGCACCAUAGGCCACUUUGGGUGGUUGAAGAACCUAGUUCUGCAGUCAAGUUGGGGGACAGUCUAGAAGUCAAAGGUGAGGAAAUGGGGGGAGGGUAUACAUUAAAGAGACAAAAAGGGCUUUUGUUUUGUUUUGUUUUUUGGUGCUGGUGUCUGAAGCAGUGCUGGGACCCAGAUCUAAA